rnacentral:ncRNA from 1 species
GUGUUGUAUGAAAGGAGAGAAGGUUAGCACUCCUGACAAGGAUGGAAGAGACCUUGGGCCUGACAACACGCAUACAGUUAAGGGAUUGCCACCUACUUUGUGGCAUCUAACCAUCAUUUUUG